ensembl:lncRNA
UGAAACACACACAUGCAGGUGAAAAGGUUCCCCCAUGAAACACACACACACACAGGUGAAAAGGCUCCGCCCUGAAACACACACAUGCAGGUGAAAAGGUUCCCCCAUGAAACACACACAUGCAGGUGAAAAGGUUCCCCCUGAAACACACACAUGCAGGUGAAAAGGUUCCCCCUGAAACACACACGCAGGUGAAAAGGCUCCCCCCGAAACACACACAUGCAGGUGAAAAAGUUCCCCCGUGAAACACACACAGGUGAAAAGGCUUCCCCCUGAAACACACAUGGGUGAAAAGGCUCCCCCAAAACACACACACACAGGCGAAAAGGCUUCCCCGUGAAACACACACAUGCAGGUGAAAAGGCUCCCCCCGAAACACCCACACGCAGGUGAAAAGGCUCCCACGAAACACCCACACGCAGGUGAAAAGUCUCCCCCUGAAACACACACACGCAGGUGAAAAGGCUCCCACGAAACACACACAUGCAGGUGAAAAGGCUCCCACGAAACACCCACACGCAGGUGAAAAGGCUCCCCCUGAAACACACACACGCAGGUGAAAAGGCUCCCACUGAAAAACAGGCAGGUGAAGUCGCAACCUCCCCUACUGGGAAGGGCCUUAUCUCGGAGCCACACCAGGUUCCAGAACCUUCAUCAAUUAUACAUCCAUCUCUCAAAAAAAAAAAAAGUGUGAGAUCUCUUUGCACAUGGAGGCAUGGGAAGAACCCACUGUUUUAUGCCUUUUUCAUUUGCCCCGUGGAAUCUACAACUAAUCCAUCAGUAAUUCUUCAACAGUUCAAGCACAGGACACAGAAUUCCCAAGAGAAUGGCGAUUGGCCACUAAUUUUUUCACACAUAUUAACUUAGCAUUUUUAAAUCAAAACUAAAUAAGGCUAGCCCAUGCAUAGACAAAAUCAAUUUAGAGCCAGAGGAAAUGUGUCCACCAAAGGAACCACGUCACAAUGAGGGCUGAUAUCCUCACAUGCUGUGUGCGAUCCUGACCACUGAAUUCCCCAUCUCUUGUGAAAAUCACAGGCCACAGACCACAUGCCGCUGAGACAGCUAAACAUUUCUCCACAUCUGGGAAGCCCACAUCUCAGGAGGACCGAAGGAAUUCUUGGGGCUGUUCUGAUUUUGAAUUCAGGAGGUAUGCUCAUGCAGAUGACCUGACGCCUCUUGGUCGGAGCUGCGUCUUUUGUCAACACCUGAACUCUUACCAGAGCUUGUCCUGCAUUUUCCAGGGUCCCACAAAGCAAAUGAAAUGUGAUAGACCCACCCACGCGGCACUCAAGUCACUGACAACUCACGAUGGGUCGACGUCCAGGAAAGAGACACCACCAAAGCCUCAACACAGAAAUUCACCUGCAAAAAUACCCGAGCCCAAUCAAGCUUCCAGGUCUGACAGCUGACAUUCACGCCAAGCAGGCAAACCCCCCAGUGCUGGGCACAGGGAAUUUCAGACGUCAAAUUAACAUAAAACUGCCUUCACGCUGCAUAGCAAACUUGAGUACAUUCCUUCAUCCUAACUCAAGAAACUUUUAGAGAACCAUAGAAAAUGCCAGCAGUCACUUUUUUAAUUCAAAUGAAACAGAAAGGUUAUUUGUUUUCUUUUAAAUCUCUAUUUCCACAAGCAUUGUUCUGACCCUCAAUAGAGCUAAUCCACGCGUUUAAAGUAUUAACAAAUGUAAACUGCAGAAAGAAAGCAAACUCCACUGAAGGAUCUCCCCUCCUCUCCCUCAGCAAAUUAUUCUUCCAGCCUUUGCUGAUGUGAGGUAGCCAACAUCUACCAUCUAGUAAUGAACAAAAGGAGUUGUGCUCAACAGGCUUUGAUCAGCAACAAGAACAGGCAUUUCCGCCAUGCAUUAAAAGAACAUAACCUACCAGAAAAGGUUUACUCACAAGACACUCACCAGCUCAAAUACAGCAUGUCCGGUUAUCUAAAAUACAGAUCUUCAGAUAAAUAACAAAUAAAUCUUUAGUGUAAGUAUAUCCCAAAUAUUGCAUGGGACAUACGUAAACCUUUUUUAAAAAGUAUUUAUUGUUUAUCUAAAAUCCAAAGUUAACCAGGAGUAAUGUAUUUUUAUGUACUAAAUUUGGCAUCCCUAACUUCUAAAACAAACACAUUAUUUGUAAGAAUUACUUAAAGGAAGCCUCAAGAGUCCAAAAAAAAAAAAAAA